CCUCUAUAUCUCUCUCUCUAUAUCCCAUUGCAAUCAUCGCUUGACCCAUUGGACUAUGAGAGUUUUUCUCUUUCCUUUCUCUUUCUUUCUCUAUUUCAAAAACCCAUUCUCUCUUACUUUAUCAACAGUAUUUAACUUCAGUUUGCUUGCCCUUUUGCUGGAAAGAAAUCUGAUGAUCUGAUCUGAUCUUUUCUCUUGAGAGCAUAUUUUCAUAUACCCAGUAACUGCAGUCUUUCAGGAUUUGUUGCAGACUCUGCUGGGUGUUGUUCAAGGAACUCCAAAACAAAGAGAAGAAGAAGAGCAAGGGAGACUACAUCUUCCUCUUGUAUAUCUUUUCUUUGCUUCAAUUGAAUUUUACCUCUCAAAGAGCAAAAACCUUGUUUGCCUCCUCUACUUGUUUAUUUCUUUCUCUCUCUCUUCUCUCUCAACAAUUCUCAUGGAAGCCAUGCAAAAUCUUGCAUUUCAUCAUUUCUUGAGCUAUCAUAGUCACCAAUACACCUGAAGUGAAAAGCCCUUCACUUUUUGUCAAUUCCUCAGCAAAGAGAAAAGAAACUGUUUUUUACUCUCCUUAAUUAGCUUCAUAUCUCUAUUCUUUUUUCCUCAAAAAGGAAGACAAUAUAUAUAAUCUGAUCUCUUUGUCUCUGGUCAUCUCAGUCUUUCAAGAAGGAUAGAAGAAGGAACUGAAAAACCCUAAAAAGAAAGAACAUCAAAACCAGAAGCAAAGAUAACAUCAUCAGCAACAGCAAAAGCAGCAGCUGCCAAGAUCCUUCGACACCCAAGAAAAAGAAAAUUACAAAGAUCAUAUAUCUCUCCCAUGGACUUGAUUUCCCCACAAAACAACCCAAAUAACUAUCCAUGCCCGAUAGUAGGCUCAAAUACCAUAGCCACCUUAGUUACCAACAACAACAACAUCAUCAGCAGCAGCACUGUAACGCCCACUUCUGGCACUACAACAACAACUCCACCUGCAUCGACCACUCCAAGCCGCUAUGAGAACCAAAAGCGCAGAGAUUGGAACACUUUUUGCCAAUACCUGAGAAACCACAGGCCUCCACUGUCACUUUCAAUGUGUAGUGGUGCUCAUGUCCUGGAGUUUCUUAGGUACCUUGAUCAAUUUGGCAAGACAAAAGUCCAUAACCAGACUUGUCCUUUCUUCGGCCUCCCUAACCCUCCUGCUCCAUGUCCUUGUCCACUUAGACAAGCCUGGGGUAGCCUUGAUGCACUCAUUGGCCGCCUCCGAGCUGCUUAUGAGGAGCAUGGAGGUAGGCCGGAAGGGAACCCUUUCGGAGCUAGAGCUGUCAGGAUUUACUUAAGGGAAGUCAGGGAUUUCCAGGCCAAAGCUAGAGGUGUUAGCUAUGAGAAGAAAAGAAAGAGGCCUAAGCAGAAGGUGGCUCCAUCGGCACAACCACCAGCUCCGCCAUCAGCAACACUUGCUGAUGCCACUGCCGCUACUAGUGUGCUUUGAUAAGUGGGUACCCUUCAAAUUGCUCUUUAGGGGACAGUUCGGAAUGGUAGUGACAGGGAUGAGCAGCUCCUAGGAAGCAGAGAAAGUACCAUAUAAAUGGGAGAAGGAUAGGUCCUUCCGCAAUCAUCAAUUGUCUGGAUGAUAUGGUUUUAAUGGGUUUUUGUUUUUAUAAGGUAUUUCUCUAUUCAACUUGAGUUGAUCAUAUUUCAAUGGCUUGGUAAAAGAAUACAAUGUUCUAUAUAUAAUGAUGGUAUAAGCCAAUGCCAAUGGUAGAUGCUGUAAUCUUUUAUGUUGUUUUCAUAUAUAAAUAUGGAACCUAUUUCGAAA